AUUGAACGCUGGCGGUAUGCUUAACACAUGCAAGUCGAACGGCAGCAUGACCUAGCUUGCUAGGUUGAUGGCGAUUGGCGGACGGGUGAGUAACGCGUAGGAAUCUACCUAUCGGCGGGGGAUAGCCCGGUGAAAACCGGAUUAAUACCGCAUACGCCCUACGGGGGAAACGAGGCCUCUUCUUGAAAGCUUCGACCGAUAGAUGAGCCUGCGUUAGAUUAGCUAGUUGGUGGGGUAAAGGCCUACCAAGGCGACGAUCUAUAGCUGUUCUGAGAGGAUGAUCAGCCACACUGGGACUGAGACACGGCCCAGACUCCUACGGGAGGCAGCAGUGGGGAAUAUUGGACAAUGGGCGCAAGCCUGAUCCAGCAAUACCGCGUGUGUGAAGAAGGGUUUCGGCUCGUAAAGCACUUUCAGUGGGGAGGAAAGGUUAGUAGUUAAUACCUGCUAGCUGUGACGUUACCUACAGAAGAAGCACCGGCUAACUCCGUGCCAGCAGCCGCGGUAAUACGGAGGGUGCAAGCGUUAAUCGGAAUUACUGGGCGUAAAGCGCGCGUAGGCGGAUGAUUAAGUUUCAUGUGAAAGCCCUGGGCUCAACCUGGGAACUGCAUGGAAUACUGGUUAUCUAGAAUACAGGAGAGGGUAGUGGAAUUUCAGGUGUAGCGGUGAAAUGCGUAGAGAUCUGAAGGAACAUCAGUGGCGAAGGCGACUACCUGGACUGAUAUUGACGCUGAGGUGCGAAAGCGUGGGGAGCAAACGGGAUUAGAUACCCUGGUAGUCCACGCUGUAAACGAUGUCAACUAGUUGUUGGGCUUAUAAAUAAGCUUAGUGACGCAGCUAACGCGAUAAGUUGACCGCCUGGGGAGUACGGUCGCAAGACUA
rnacentral:rRNA from 1 species